rnacentral:rRNA from 2 species
UACGAAGGGGGCUAGCGUUGUUCGGAAUUACUGGGCGUAAAGCGCACGUAGGCGGAUACUUAAGUCAGGGGUGAAAUCCCGGGGCUCAACCCCGGAACUGCCUUUGAUACUGGGUAUCUGGAGUCCGGAAGAGGUGAGUGGAAUUCCGAGUGUAGAGGUGAAAUUCGUAGAUAUUCGGAGGAACACCAGUGGCGAAGGCGGCUCACUGGUCCGGUACUGACGCUGAGGUGCGAAAGCGUGGGGAGCAAACAGG